GACGAACGCUGGCGGCGUGCUUAACACAUGCAAGUCGAACGGAAAGGCCCUGCUUUUGUGGGGUGCUCGAGUGGCGAACGGGUGAGUAACACGUGAGUAACCUGCCCUUGACUUUGGGAUAACUUCAGGAAACUGGGGCUAAUACCGGAUAGGAGCUCCUGCUGCAUGGUGGGGGUUGGAAAGUUUCGGCGGUUGGGGAUGGACUCGCGGCUUAUCAGCUUGUUGGUGGGGUAGUGGCUUACCAAGGCUUUGACGGGUAGCCGGCCUGAGAGGGUGACCGGCCACAUUGGGACUGAGAUACGGCCCAGACUCCUACGGGAGGCAGCAGUGGGGAAUAUUGCACAAUGGGCGGAAGCCUGAUGCAGCAACGCCGCGUGCGGGAUGACGGCCUUCGGGUUGUAAACCGCUUUCGCCUGUGACGAAGCGUGAGUGACGGUAAUGGGUAAAGAGGCACCGGCUAACUACGUGCCAGCAGCCGCGGUGAUACGUAGGGUGCGAGCGUUGUCCGGAUUUAUUGGGCGUAAAGGGCUCGUAGGUGGUUGAUCGCGUCGGAAGUGUAAUCUUGGGGCUUAACCCUGAGCGUGCUUUCGAUACGGGUUGACUUGAGGAAGGUAGGGGAGAAUGGAAUUCCUGGUGGAGCGGUGGAAUGCGCAGAUAUCAGGAGGAACACCAGUGGCGAAGGCGGUUCUCUGGGCCUUUCCUGACGCUGAGGAGCGAAAGCGUGGGGAGCGAACAGGCCUAGAUACCCUGGUAGUCCACGCUGUAAACGGUGGGUACUAGGUGUGGGGUCCAUUCCACGGGUUCCGUGCCGUAGCUAACGCUUUAAGUACCCCGCCUGGGGAGUACGGCCGCAAGGCUAAAACUCAAAGGAAUUGACGGGGCCCCGCACAAGCGGCGGAGCAUGCGGAUUAAUUCGAUGCAACGCGUAGAACCUUACCUGGGUUUGACAUGGAUCGGGAGCGCUCAGAGAUGGGUGUGCCUCUUUUGGGGUCGGUUCACAGGUGGUGCAUGGCUGUCGUCAGCUCGUGUCGUGAGAUGUUGGGUUAAGUCCCGCAACGAGCGCAACCCUUGUUCACUGUUGCCAGCACGUUAUGGUGGGGACUCAGUGGAGACCGCCGGGGUCAACUCGGAGGAAGGUGGGGAUGACGUCAAGUCAUCAUGCCCCUUAUGUCCAGGGCUUCACGCAUGCUACAAUGGCUGGUACAGAGAGUGGCGAGCCUGUGAGGGUGAGCGAAUCUCGGAAAGCCGGUCUCAGUUCGGAUUGGGGUCUGCAACUCGACCUCAUGAAGUCGGAGUCGCUAGUAAUCGCAGAUCAGCAACGCUGCGGUGAAUACGUUCCCGGG
rnacentral:rRNA from 1 species